UGCGUCGGCCGGGAGUCGAACCCGGAUCAACUGUUCGGGUAACAGCUAUUCUGACCGUUGCACUACCGUCGC